rnacentral:pre_miRNA from 1 species
UACAUACUCCCUCCGUCCCAAAAUUCUUGUCUUACAUUUGUCUAAAUACGGAUGUAUCAAGUCACGUUUUAGUAUUAGAUACAUCCGUAUCUAGACAAAUCUAAGACAAGAAUUUUGGGACGGAGCGAGUAUAAU